UCCGGAGGGUGCAAUCGUUGUUCGGAUUUACUGGGCGUAAAGGGCGCGUAGGCGGCUUGGUAAGUCGGGUGUGAAAUCCUUCCGCUUAACGGAAGAAGUGCACCCGAAACUGCCUUGCUCGAGUUUAGGAGAGGAGAGCGGAAUUCCCGGUGUAGAGGUGAAAUUCGUAGAUAUCGGGAGGAACACCCGUGGCGAAAGCGGCUCUCUGGCCUAAUACUGACGCUGAGGCGCGAAAGCGUGGGGAGAAAACAGG
rnacentral:rRNA from 1 species